rnacentral:rRNA from 1 species
UAAUCARGUUAAAUAAAACAUUUACCCCUAUUAAAGUAUAGGAGAUAGAAAUUUUUAACUGGAGCAAUAGAGCAAGUACCGCAAGGGAAAGAUGAAAGAAACAACUCAAUAGUAAAACAAAGCAAAGACUAAACCUUUUACCUUUUGCAUAAUGAAUUAACUAGAAACAACUUCACAAAAAGAAUUUAAGCCAAGUACCCCGAAACCAGACGAGCUACUUAUGGGCAGCUAUAAGAGCAAAUCCGUCUAUGUAGCAAAAUAGUGGAGUGACCUAUAAGUAGAGGUGAAAAGCCUACCGAGCCUGGUGAUAGCUGGUUAUCCAGACAAGAAUUUUAGUUCAACUUUAAAUUUACCCUAAGCAAAUCUAAUCUAAAUGUAAAUUUAAUUGUUAGUCUAAAGAGGGACAGCUCUUUAGACACAGGAAAAAACCUUUAUUAGAGAGUAAGAUAAAUAAUUUCCAUAGUUGGCCUAAAAGCAGCCAUCAAUUAAAAAAGCGUUCAAGCUUAACUAAAUAAACCAAACUUAAUCCAAAUAUUUAUACUCAACUCCUAACCUCACACUGGAUCAAUCUAUAUACAACUAUAGAAGCAAUAAUGUUAAUAUGAGUAACAAGAAAUUAUUUCUCCCUGCAUAAGUUUAUAUCAGCCCGAAUAAAUCACUGAUAGUUAACAAACCUAUAAUCNNNNNNNNNNNNNNNNNNNNNNNNNNNNCAUAAUGUUAACCCAACACUGGCAUGCACUUAAGGGAAAGAUUAAAAUAAGUAAAAGGAACUCGGCAAACACUAACCCCGCCUGUUUACCAAAAACAUCACCUCUAGCAUUAACAGUAUUAGAGGCACUGCCUGCCCGGUGACAUAUGUUUAACGGCCGCGGUAUCCUGACCGUGCAAAGGUAGCAUAAUCAUUUGUUCUUUAAAUAAGGACUUGUAUGAAUGGCCAAACGAGGGUUUAUCUGUCUCUUACUUUCAAUCAGUGAAAUUGACCUUCCCGUGAAGAGGCGGGAAUAAACAAAUAAGACGAGAAGACCCUAUGGAGCUUAAAUUUACUAGUCCAAGUAUCCCACAUUAAAUCUACAAGAGACAAAAAUUACUACUAAUGGACUAAAAAUUUUGGUUGGGGUGACCUCGGAGCAUAGCUUAACCUCCGAAUGAUCUUAAUCCAGACCUCCUACCCGUCUAAAUUUCAACUCAUAAAUUGACCCAAUCUAUUGAUCAACGGAACAAGUUACCCUAGGGAUAACAGCGCAAUCCUACUCAAGAGUCCAUAUCGACAGUUAGGGUUUACGACCUCGAUGUUGGAUCAGGACAUCCAAAUGGUGCAGCAGCUAUUAAUGGUUCGUUUGUUCAACGAUUAAAGUCCUACGUGAUCUGAGUUCAGACCGGAGAAAUCCAGGUCGGUUUCUAUCUAUUAAAAAUUUCUCCCAGUACGAAAGGACAAGAGAAAUAGGGCCAAUCUCUACAACAUGCCCUAUAACUAAUAGAUGAAAUAAUCUUAAUCUAAAAAACUAUUAACACACUCACCCUAGAACAGGGUUU